rnacentral:tRNA from 1 species
UUCAAGUCUUCCCAGGCCCACCAUUUUGAUCGAGUGCGGAGCAUUCGUCUUCUGGUACGGGGCCAUAGCUCAGCUGGGAGAGCGCGUGCUUUGCAAGCAUGAGGUCGUCGGUUCGAUCCCGUCUGGCUCCACCAGAUGGAAUUGAAGCUCGAGAAUGCGUCUUUGCAGGAAGCUCUGUUCAUAUCGUCCGCGAAACAUCACUUCGCACUCAUUGGUCCGGAUGGACGGUGACGUGCGUGUUUUCUGACAUCGUAAAGAGGAGAUCGAUCCGAGUUUGGAUCAAGCGAAGCAAUUCGCCUGAGCCAUUCAUUAUCUCCGGGAUCAUUUCGGCGCUCGCUUUCAAUCGCAAGAUUGGAUGCGGGUUGUAAAUGAUCCCUUUUAGCGAAGCUUGACCGCCUCGCUAUCGGGCCGAUCUUACGAAGCAAGCUGGUCUUUCUAGUCAAUGUCCGGCUGCGCAAUCGCAUUCAUCGAGGAUGCGUGCCUUCAAUGGCAGUUGUGCAGACAACAUUCUACCGAGUGUGUGGACAUUGAUAAUGAGAGC